GCCUCCAUGGUUCAGUGGCUUGAGCGUUGGGCUCAUGAUCCGGAGGUCCCGGGUUCAAAUCCCGGUGGGGACA
rnacentral:tRNA from 1 species